rnacentral:rRNA from 1 species
AGCCGAGCGGUAGGGUUUCUUCGGAAACCUGAGAGCGGCGCACGGGUGCGGAACACGUGUGCAACCUACCUUUAUCAGGGGGAUAGCCUUUCGAAAGGAAGAUUAAUACCCCAUAAUAUAUUAGAUGGCAUCAUUUGAUAUUGAAAACUCCGGUGGAUAGAGAUGGGCACGCGCAAGAUUAGAUAGUUGGUGAGGUAACGGCUCACCAAGUCGGUGAUCUUUAGGGGGCCUGAGAGGGUGAUCCCCCACACUGGUACUGAGACACGGACCAGACUCCUACGGGAGGCAGCAGUGAGGAAUAUUGGACAAUGGGUGAGAGCCUGAUCCAGCCAUCCCGCGUGAAGGAUGACGGCCCUAUGGGUUGUAAACUUCUUUUGUAUAGGGAUAAACCUUUCCACGUGUGGAAAGCUGAAGGUACUAUACGAAUAAGCACCGGCUAACUCCGUGCCAGCAGCCGCGGUAAUACGGAGGGUGCAAGCGUUAUCCGGAUUUAUUGGGUUUAAAGGGUCCGUAGGCGGACUCGUAAGUCAGUGGUGAAAUCUCAUAGCUUAACUAUGAAACUGCCAUUGAUACUGCGGGUCUUGAGUAAGGUAGAGGUAGCUGGAAU